rnacentral:sRNA from 1 species
AAUUUGAAGUCAAAACCGUAGACAGCGGGUGCGAAAGCUUAAUUUCCCGCCGAGGUACAAUAUAAAGAAUAUUGACCUCGUCUUUAAUCUAUGAUGUAUUUAGAAUUUAAGGUGAGGUUUUUCCUU